UUGGAGGUGACAAGCGGUGGCUGAGGGGGGACGUUUCCUGCCACACUGGACCCCAAGGUGUUUGGAAAGGGCCAAGGGAUGUCCAGGACAUCCCUGUUGGACCGCACAUGGAGCUCGCUCGCUCGCUCUCUCCCACUCUGGAACCUCCUUCUUAAUCACUCUUGGUUGAGGUGGGAGCUAGAAUUCCCCGAGAAUGGGGAAGUGAGAGGUGGGAAGGAGUUGCCUCCAACUUCAAGGCAGACCCUUCUCGGGCGGACUUCCCUAAAGGAGUUCACCACACCCAAGAAUCAGCCACAUUCACCUUCACACACACACACACACACACACACACACACGGAGUCCAACAAGGAGCAUCCCUAGCCCUGUUCACAUGCAAGAGCAAGCUCCUCACAGGAAGACUGCCCCCAAGAUCUUCUGCCUGCAGAAGCUAGACGACAUUCUUACCCAUCGGAUGGGAGAAACUCAAAUUCAGAAUUUCUAGCACCCUUUUCUAUUCUGUGGACUCCUCACAAAGACCAGAGACUCGAAGUCACCAUUCGCUGUCUAGGGCUAGCCGUUUGACGAAGACAACACUCCCUGGACCAAAAAAGGCUUUCUUGAGAUUGGGGUGAAGAGAUGAUGGUUCCUAAUGAGCAAGAGAGUGGGCAGAGGGGUGGUCCAAGACUCAAGAUUUUUGGUUUGAGCGCACUGUGCUGAGGUGUAAGAUGCACAACCUGAACUGGUGCGUGUCUGGAAUCCCUGCAUUCAAGAGGCUGAGUCGGAAGGACCAGGAGUUGGAGGGCACUCGGUGUUUACCAAGACUGUCAGCACCUGAGGUACUCAGUCCAUCCUGGAGGUCCACCCAGAACACUCAUCGACCUCAGUCUUUAAGUAUCCAUGAUUCAGGAGGAAAAGAUCUGUGUAAUGCAAGGGGGUCUUUGUGGCCACUGUUCAUGGCAGAAUAGGGGACAGAAUAAAUUCCUCAACAUCUGGAGUGCAGUGGAAAGGUUAGUAUUGUAUUGGGUAAGUCUACACGCUUGGGUCAAGUCAGAGGAGAAAGGGGAAGGAGUCUCAUUUUCUCAUCCCACACGGGCACAUACCAGGACCUAGGCAAUCAGCUGGAUACAGGGCGGGUGUGGGUUUAGUGGAUGAGUCUGCUCUCCUCCUCACUCUCUUCCUUUUUACAGCCCAGCCAUAAAACAAUCUGGGGGAGGAGAGUCAAACGACCUGUGCCAUGAUGUCUCCGCGGGGCUUUUAUGAUUAUAACCACUUACAGGAAUUGUCUAGGAACGUCAGCUACCCAGAAUUUGGGGAUCUGGGACUUCGGUACCAGAAAGUUGUGUAAGAUAAAUAUGUGCAAAUCUUACUCCUUGAUGGCCAGGGGUUCAAAAAAAUUUUUUUCAUUUAAAGGAAAUAAAUCAGAUAACAGAGAUAUAUGUCCACUUUAGAAUUAGAGAAAACCCUUGACUGAUACUGUAACCAAUGAAACGGGGUCAGGUUCUUGGUCUCAACAAUAAAACCCAUACUAACUAGCUGAGACCGAAGGGGUUUAUUAAGUAGCUCAUGUAAGCAUGGAAGCUGGAGAAACAGGCUCCAGGCUGAGCUCUGGUUACAACCCGCAGACCCACACUGUGGAACUGGCCUGGUGAGAAGAGCUGCCACCUCCCACUGCAGAAAUGUCUACCCAGAUUGCUCCGCUCCCACACGGUUGCCAGCCCCCUCUCUGGGCUAACUCCCAGCUGCUAUCCCUGCCUUGGUCUCAAGUCAGCGUCUCUAGUUGAGUGCUGUCGUUGGAGUUUCUCUGUGUCCCAGCAGUUGCUCCCAAAUAACCACUCAGAGACUUAAUAUUAAUUAUAAAUGCUCAGCCAAUAGCUUAGACUUGUUUUUAACUAGCUCAUAUAACUUAAAUUAACCCAUUUCUUAUCUACCCUGUGCCACAUGGCGGUACCUUCUUUCUACGUGGCACGUUCAUCUGGUUUCUCUCUCUGCUCAUGACUCCUCAGACUCUGCCCUUCUUCUUCCCAGCAUUCUCUCUGCCCCAAAGUCCUGCCUAGCUAUUGACCAAUCAGCUUUUAUUAACCAAUGAGAGUAAUACAUAGUAACAGUGUACAAAAAGAUUAUUCCACAGCACAGUGCUUCUUUCCGCCUGAUCAGUUGGGUUUCUCAGAAAUUGCUAGUUCCCAUCCACAGGGGAGGCUCUGUGCCCCACAGUCAAGCAAUACGUCCGUGGGCCACACAAAGCCAACUUGAAAUGGGUGACAACAUGAAAGGUUUUGUCCCGAAGCUGGAGACAAACUCAAAAGGCAAACUGGUAUAGCAUUCACGAUCUCACCCUCACAGGAUCCCCCGAGUCUCUCUCCUGCCCAGGUUCUCACCAAACCACCCCUGCGGGAAGCAGUUCAAUGUACUAGGUAGUGCGCUAAGUGCCGAGGACACAAAGAAGAAACAGGGAAGGCUGAGAAAGUUCUGUCUCACCAAAGUAGGUGAAACGAACAUAUUACUGAAGUCAAAUAUUGAUCUGGGGCCACAGAGAAAACACAAGUGAGAAACUGGAGAGACGCUCGGUGGUGAAGAGCAGUUAUUGCUUUUGCAUAGGACCUAUGUUUGGUUCCUAGCACCCAUGUCUGGUGGCUCACGACUUCCUGUAACUCCAACUCUAGGGGAUCCAUCCACUGCCCUCUUCUGCCCUCUGUGGACAACUUCACUCACAUGUACAUACCCAUACACAGAUAUACACACAUACACAUAAAUAAAAAUAAAUCUAAAAAAGAAAAGCAAAUGAAAACACAAUUUAGAUUAUGGUCUGAUAAGGUGAGCUAGACAUUUAUGAUAGAAGAACCCAUGAUCGUGUUGGAAGUCAAGUCGUAGUCACAGGAGAGGGUCGUGGGAGCCCAUGGGGGCCUUGGGAAGACAGUUCUGAGACACACAUUGCUCAGUGUGGUGAACUCUGGCCACAUGGAGUCU